AUGACACAACUGGCUGCUUUUCUGUCUACUUUUAUGAUGAGAUUUGAUACUUUGCAGGUAACUCACCCUAGGAUUAAGGGAAACACAAACAGGUUUUCCACGGGCAGGUGACAGCGCUGAGGACUCGUUCUGCUGCCUUGCGACACCGGCAACACGAGGCCCAGUGACCUGAGCUGGAUGUGGUUGGAGAUACAUGAAGAAUUGAGAGGCUGAUCCCAGAGCUCCCUCCUGCUGUGGAUCCUGUCAUAAAUCUCUGUUGUGUUCGUGAUGCCACCUGUGCCUGUCCCAUGAUCUUUGUCAUACCAUUACCACAGAACUUGACAAAGGAGCGGCCUUUUGUAGAUCAUCCUUGUGCUAUUUCUAAUUUACUGGCUCUACAGACUCCGUCAUUCUCUGCCUGGCAUGAAGCAUUUACCUGCUCUGUAAACAAAUUCAUCCCAUUUCUACUGAUGGAGGAAGUUGCUGUUCAGCCACACUGUGGCAAAACAUGCUUU